rnacentral:rRNA from 1 species
GAUGAACGCUAGCGGCAGGCCUAACACAUGCAAGUCGAGGGAGAGGUUAUCUUCGGGUAACCAAAACCGGCGCACGGGUGUGUAACGCGUAUACAAUCUGCCUUUCACAUAGGGAUAGCCCGAAGAAAUUUGGAUUAAUACCUAAUGGUAUAUAAGAGCGGCAUCGUUUUUAUAUUAAAGCUACAGUGGUGAAAGAUGAGUAUGCGUUCUAUUAGCUAGUUGGAGAGGUAACGGCUCCCCAAGGCGACGAUAGAUAGGGGUUCUGAGAGGGAUGUCCCCCACACUGGUACUGAGAUACGGACCAGACUCCUACGGGAGGCAGCAGUGGGGAAUAUUGUACAAUGGGCGCAAGCCUGAUGCAGCGACGCCGCGUGAGGGAUGACGGCCUUCGGGUUGUAAACCUCUGUUAGCAGGGAAGAAGAGAGAUUGACGGUACCUGCAGAGAAAGCGCCGGCUAACUACGUGCCAGCAGCCGCGGUAAUACGUAGGGCGCGAGCGUUGUCCGGAAUUAUUGGGCGUAAAGAGCUUGUAGGCGGUUUGUCGCGUCUGCUGUGAAAGGCCGGAGCUUAACUCCGUGUAUUGCAGUGGGUACGGGCAGACUAGAGUGCAGUAGGGGAGACUGGAAUUCCUGGUGUAGCGGUGGAAUGCGCAGAUAUCAGGAGGAACACCGAUGGCGAAGGCAGGUCUCUGGGCUGUAACUGACGCUGAGAAGCGAAAGCAUGGGGAGCGAACAGG